GCGCUGCGCGACGAAUAAAGAAACGUACGGGAUACGGCUCAAUCUGGCUACGAACCAGAAGGUCGAGUGUUCGAAUCACUCGGGGCGCACCA
rnacentral:tRNA from 1 species